UACGUAGGGGGCGAGCGUUGUCCGGAGUUACUGGGCGUAAAGCGCACGCAGGCGGUCUGUGAAGUUUGGAGUGACAGUUGGUGGCUCAACCACCAAAGUGCUUUGAAAACUGAUAGACUUGAGGGCUUCAGAGGGACACGGAAUUCCUGGUGGAGUGGUGAAAUGCGUAGAGAUCCGGAGGAACACCAAAGGCGAAGGCAGUGUCCUGGGGAGUACCUGACGCUCAGGUGCGAAAGCCAGGGGAGCGAACGGG
rnacentral:rRNA from 1 species